CCCCUUUCAGGGUCACAACUGGAGAGUUUCCAGUACUCUACCAGUCUCGACCAUGGAAGGAAGAGUCAAGCAGAGGCAUAUCCAUUCCAUUCCUAGUUUGAGCAGUGGCUAGCAAAUGGAGGGCAACUUGCUACAAGU